rnacentral:lncRNA from 1 species
AAUAAAGAAAUUGUUCCAGGCUGAACCACUACAUUUCCACUUUAAGAAGAAAAUUCCACUCUUAAUUUGAUAAAAUCAGUUAAACAACAAGUUAAGGGUUGCAUUUAAACAAAAUGAAUAUAUUUUGUUUCUUUAUUCAGAAAACAAUGCCAGUAACAACUAAUUUUCCUGUAUGGCUGGGGAAAUCAACGCUGGGUUUGGGCUCGGUUGUUUUGUUAUUGUUGUUGUUCCAGAAGGCAUUGGUCAAUGCCACUCUUAUUUAGAGUUCUUAAUCUAGAGUCCAUGGAUUGCCACAAAAUCUACAGGUUUCUGUAAUUAUAUGUAAAAUAUCAUGUGUAUAUACCAUGGUGACUCUUCUUGAAGCAAAUUAUUGUUUUUUGCUACCCUGCACCCUCCUUCGGUUAACUGUACAGAUUGUACCCUCUGGGUACAAUCCUAAUGCCUAGUCCAUGAAAAAUGACAAUGAGGCUGACUCUAUCUCCUACUCCAAGAGAGAUGUACAGGAUUAUUCCACAAUCUAAUCAAAGUGAAUUAGGACAAAGAGAUUUUGAUAGGGCUUCUGGAAAAGAGAUUCUCUUUUUUCCUGUUUGAUCUGAAGCCUGAGAGGAUGUUGUAGAUGAAGCAAUGCUACUGCCACAAUCUUGCUUCCAAAUGAAGCCAGAGACUGAAGUUCUAUUAGUGGAGGCUGAGAGACGGAGAAAAAAAUGGCUCUUGCUUACAUUACUUUAAUCCAGAAGUUAGUUCUGUGCUAAGACUUUCCACAUUUUAAUAAAUAACACAUAACACGCACUCAUGCACAUUUAUAUCAUCUUACUCCACAAAUUUGCAUAGCUGACUUCUUCAGCUGAACUGCUACUGGCCUUCUCUGACCUUUCCUAUCUAAUAUAAAUUCCCUUCUCUGUACUCUUUACUUCUGUCCAUCCUACCUGUUUUUAAUCUCAUUACAUACAGUCAGAAUCAUAUGGCAUGUGCUAUUUCUUAACUUGGUACACAGAAAUUUGGUCAGUGUUCAGUCCUUUUCAAUCAACAUUUACACAGUGAAGGAUUACUUUCUAGAAGAGAGAGAGAAUCUGGGAGAGAAAGAGAGGGACAGAGGCAGAGCAGGACAGAAAAAGAGAGACACAGAGAGAGAGGGAAGGAGGAGAAAGACUUUAAAAAUAGCAGAUUCAAAUAGAGAGCUGUACGGCACGUUUCAUCAAUAGUGGAACAAAUUGAGAUUUUAAUUACAGACAUACAAGAGAACAUAUUUUAGUUAAGCAAAUAUCUGAAGUAUAGAUUAGGAGGAAAGGAUUUUGAUGUAGUUUGAUCUCCAUUCCAAACAGACUUAGCUGACAUAAUUACAGGGCCCCUAAAAGGAACUGCUAGGGUUUAGAAGCACUUUCCACUUCCUUUAAACUGGCUCUAUAAAUGCCAAGAGUGAGUAUUUUAGAUUAAAUGAAUAGAUUAAUAAACAUCUUUGGAAUAUCCAUUAUUAAGGUUGAUUUAUGUUCUCCUGUCAGCAGUAAUUCAAGAAAAUGCCACACUAUCCAAAAAAUAUUGCAUGUCAUUCUCACCGCUUUGCCAAUGUUAUGACACCACAUAAGUAUGACAAUAUCUAAAUUCUUUUGCCAUAUUAACUAUACACAAAAGCUGAUAGAUAAUAAACCCCUUUAAGUUUUGCCUGGGCAUCAGCACAGGAACCACUCAUAUUUAUAACUCUGAUAAAUGACCUUUCAUUUAUAAAUUUAUAGUAUAUCCAUAAUUUCUUUAGGGAACCAAGAGGUUCAUUCAAAAAAUUGCCAUACCAUUCAUCUAUGCAAAGAUGAUGGAUAUGGGUUAUAAAAUUAAAUGCUUUUAAAAAUUAAAUUCAUAUUGCCAAGAAAAAGGAUAUGUUCUUUUCUGAUUUGCUCACAUUUUUAAAUGAUUACAACUGCACUAUCAGCAGUUAUAAUACUUAAUCUAGAUAGCAUAUUAAUAUAUUUAUUAAAUAUGUACACAUAUAUUGUUGUUAGGGUUGUACAGCAUCAGGAUGAACUACUGGACAUCAAGUUCACUUAAAUUUAUUAUUAUAUUUUCUAAUUCUAUUCCUCGCAGUGACCAAUAAAAUAUAUAAAGUAUCAUUAGCAUAAAAUAUUUUUCAUUUAUUUAAUUUUUCAGGACUACUCCCAGCCAACUGUAUGGUUUAUUGUACUAUACAGACUAUUAUAAACUAUAACUUUGCCAAAAAUCAAACUCAACUAAAUAAAGAGUCCUAUUUUAUCCUAGUAUAGACUUUGCUCAAUUGGAGAAAUCAAUGAAGGAGAAGAUAGAAGAUACUUAUCACUAAAGUCACCAGUAAAAAGCAGAGAAGUCAGUGUUCUAAUGUAAAGAAGAAAUGCACAUCGUUACUAUGUUUGCUGUGUUCUGGAGAGUUUCCUACUCCUCCUUCACCUGCCAUCCUCUACCACACACAAAUCUCAGCACUUUGAUUUUUUCUAGAGUAGUUUUACUUUUUCAAAAUCUAUCCUAUUAUUACAGAAUCUGCAAAAGACUGAACCUGAGUUUAACUAUUUCAUCUGGUUAUAGGAACAACAAUCUUCAAAUUGUAACUUUCUUUAGCACUGGCUCAUCCAGUCCAAAAAAAAAAAAAAUUGUUCCAAACUCUUGCAAAAUUUCUAUGCAAAGUAUCUCUUACAUAUUAUACGCUCUAGAUUCUGCUUAAAACAAAAACAAUAUUAAAAAUAAAAUACAAUAAGCAGUUUACAUACCCCUGUGGACCGCUAGCUCCUUGUGGGCAGGAACAUAUUUAUCAUCAUCUUUGGGUCACCGUUAAAACGCAGCGAUUCACGCACCUUACCGGCUCUCCUCAACGUCUCCUCCGGCGUGGGAUGCAAAGUGGCACAGCGGCGGGCCGGGGGCCCCCGGGAGGAGACUGGAGAUGGGUUUUGGUGGCUCGCCUUUUUCACUGUGUGUGUAUGUGUGUCUCUGUGUCUGUGUGUGUCCGUGUGUGU